AUUAAAAGCCGAAACGAAAAAGCCAUUAGGGUGCGCUUCAUUUGUUGAACGCUAGAGGUCAACAGCGUCUCGUCCACUCUUGUGAGACUGCCGAAGUUGUUAGAGCCCGUUCCGUAACAAAACCAAAACAAUGAGAGCUAUCGUGCAGAGGGUCACCAAAGCGACAGUGACAGUGGGGGACGAACAGGUCAGCUCAAUAGGACGAGGGUUGUGUGUGCUCCUGGGUAUUUCCACAGAGGACACCCAAAGGGAGGCUGACUACAUAGUACGGAAGAUCCUCAACCUGCGCCUUUUUGAAGACGAGAAUGGCCGAGCGUGGAGCAAAAGCGUCACAGACAGUGGCUUCGAGGUGCUGUGCGUCAGCCAGUUCACUCUGCAGUGUAUACUUAAGGGCAAUAAGCCAGACUUCCACUCAGCCAUGCCCGCAGAGCUGGCUCAACCCUUCUACAACAGCAUCCUGGAGAACAUGAGGAGUGCUUACAGGCCAGAGUAUAUUAAGGAUGGGAAGUUUGGAGCCCGCAUGCAAGUUCACAUACAAAAUGAUGGCCCGGUAACCAUUGAACUGACUUCACCCACUGUCGAUCCAAAACAGCUGUCAAAGCUGGAGAAGCAGCAGCAGAGGAAAGAGAAGACACGCUCCAAAGGUCCCUCUGAGUCGGGCAGGGACAAGGGCGCCUUGCGUCCCCGACCGGACCCCAACGCCAGCAGUGGAGCAGAGGGCGACGUGUCAUCAGAGCGGGAGCCUUAGUGUCAGCAGGGUGAGGGACAAAAGCAUACCCGCAGUCACCUGAUGAAGUGCACAUGCUUCAUAUACAGCAUAUGCCAUACCCGGAACAUGAUGGUCAGCUCCUUUUCCUCAGGAAGGCUUCAAUCCUCAGUGACUCUCGCACCCUUCUGUUUCAGAAGCGUGUCCCUCUUCUCCUCCUUGACCUUUCACCUUCAAAUCCAAUGAGACAGAUUAAACAAAGUUUGAACAAAGUAGAAAAGAGGAUAAAACAAUGCCAUGUUUUUGCAUCUCUGUGAUGUGAGAAUGAACAAAGGUGUUCAGAAAAAGAGCGUGGGCGACUGAGGAUGGAACAGACCUCAGCUGUUUUCUCUGUCUAAUUCUCCAUGCCUGUCCCACCCUCGGCCCACUGUUCCCAUUAAAUCACUGCUCAGAGUUGCAGCUCUGACCCUGAAAUCCUUGUUCCUUUUCUUGACCCUUGUCUUUUAACUGUGGCCCCAGAUUUCAUGAUAAGGUAACAACCUCAACAUAUGGGCCACACACAUGUCAUUUGUGCUACAGGCAAGAGGUGCCACUGCUCUGCUUUCAGCUUGGUCAUAACAAGUCAGCUCACUCAACUAUCUGUACUUUGGCUCCAUGGAGGCUGUCCUUGAGUGCAAGCAAACAUUGCCAGUGCAGAUGGACAGAGUAAUGUUUCUGAUCAUUACCCCUUCCUAUUGUUAUUUGACAGAUCUGAAUGUAUUUGUUGUCCUUUUUAUAAAGACCUCAGUUGAAA